rnacentral:sRNA from 1 species
UAACAUAGGUGGUAUUUUUUGACUUCCAUUUGUGAAGUUUAAAUGAGAUUUGUUAUUGUUGCUUUUAUGUGAAUCCUUAGUACAUGGCCUGCUGCAAACACCCAGGACACCCAGGAAAUGGUCAUUGCUGUUUGAUUUUCCUCAUCCCCAGUCUCAAGGGGAAGCCAGGCCAAUGAGAAGAGCCACUUGCCAUCAGGCUAUCGCUUUAGAGUCACUGAAAGGGCCCCAGGUGGGAUGGUGGGGAGAGAAGAACCAUGAGAGAAGUUGGCACAAAGGAGUUAUGGGACAAAGGGUCCAAGAUAGGCAGAAAAGAAGCUUUUCCCAGUUGAUGGGGAAGAAAGGAAGUCAGAGGGCUUAGACAGUGAGGGGGGACAGAACAUCUCCAUGUGCACUCUCAUCUCUGGCAGUGAGCAACAGGUAUCUAUGGGGAGGGCCCUGCAUCAUCUGCUACCCUGAAGGAUCUGGAGGUAAGAGGCCCUGGGCCGAGGUGCAGUGACCCUGCAGGCCAGCCCUCCAACCUCCUCCCACAGCAGGGGCUUGUUGCCCCUCUGCCAGCUGAGACAACCCACACCCCCCCACCAGCCCUAAUGAUUGUUCUGUCUACCCCUCCCCACAAUCUUCCUCCAACUCCUCCUUUCUGCAUGCACCUCAGAGCCAGUACCAAGAACUAGCAGUGGCCCUGGAUUCAAGCUCCGCAAUAAUCAGUCAACUCAGUGAAAACAUCAAUUCACUGGUAAGAGUCCAGUGGGGUCCCCUGAUUCCAGCCUGUCAAUCCUGGACUCCAGUUUCCCCUUGGGGCCCUGAAGAAAGGGGCUAGGGGCCCCCGAUGCCAAGGGCGAAUGGGGAGCUGGGGCACCCAGGUCUCACCUGGAGGGACCCCAGAGCACAGAACAUGCAGCAUGGCUCUUCUGCACUGCUCUCUUUGCUGACUCUCUCUUCUCCAGACACCCCUGCUCUAGUCCUUGCCACACAUGCCCUGGGGUUGUCACCUCUCAGGGAAGCAGUAGCCUGACUGGUUGUCAGGGGCCCAUAUUUCUGCCCUGCCUCAGUCCCUAAUUUGCUUUUUUGAGUCUGGACAAGCCAUCUCUCCUCCUUAGGCUCAUGUUUCUGGAGGAGGUAGAGAGUAUCAAAGGUCUAGCUCUGACAGUCUGAGAUUUAAAGGCCCCUAGAAUGGAAACCUCAGGGCCAAGGGCUCCUGUCUGUCCUUUGCUGUCUUAUAUCUCUGCUAUGCUGAACCUCUGGCCCCAGAGCCCCCAGCAGGGCCCUCUGAGGUGGAGCAGCUACAAGAUGAGACCAACCACCUAAGGAAGGAGCUGGAGAGUGUGGUAAAACAGCUGCAGGCCGAGGUGGAAAACAAUCAGAUGUUGAGUCUCCUGAACAGGAGACAGGAGGAGAGGCUACGUGAACACGAGAAGAGGCUACGUGAACAGGAGAAGAGGCUACGUGAACAGGAGAAGAGGCUACGUGAACAGGAGGAGAGGCUUCGUGAACAGGAGGAGAGGCUGUGUGAACAGGAGAAGCUGCCAGGGCAGGAGAGGCUGCUGGAAGAGGUGGAGAAGCUGUUAGAACAGGAGAGACGGCAGGAGGAGCAGGAGAGGCUACUGGAGAGGGAGAGGCUGCUGGAUGAGGUGGAGGAGCUGCUGGAACAGGAGAGGCUUCGGGAGCAGGAUGAGAGGCUGUGGCAGCAGGAGACUCUGUGGGAGCUG